rnacentral:rRNA from 1 species
GAACGCUGGCGGCAGGCUUAACACAUGCAAGUCGAGCGGAUGAAAGUAGCUUGCUACUGGAUUCAGCGGCGGACGGGUGAGUAAUGCUUAGGAAUCUGCCUAUUAGUGGGGGACAACGUUCCGAAAGGAGCGCUAAUACCGCAUACGUCCUACGGGAGAAAGCAGGGGACCUUCGGGCCUUGCGCUAAUAGAUGAGCCUAAGUCGGAUUAGCUAGUUGGUAGGGUAAAGGCCUACCAAGGCGACGAUCUGUAGCGGGUCUGAGAGGAUGAUCCGCCACACUGGGACUGAGACACGGCCCAGACUCCUACGGGAGGCAGCAGUGGGGAAUAUUGGACAAUGGGGGGAACCCUGAUCCAGCCAUGCCGCGUGUGUGAAGAAGGCCUUUUGGUUGUAAAGCACUUUAAGCGAGGAGGAGGCUACCUAGAUUAAUACUUUAGGAUAGUGGACGUUACUCGCAGAAUAAGCACCGGCUAACUCUGUGCCAGCAGCCGCGGUAAUACAGAGGGUGCGAGCGUUAAUCGGAUUUACUGGGCGUAAAGCGUGCGUAGGCGGCCAAUUAAGUCAAAUGUGAAAUCCCCGAGCUUAACUUGGGAAUUGCAUUCGAUACUGGUUGGCUAGAGUAUGGGAGAAGAUGGUAGAAUUCCAGGUGUAGCGGUGAAAUGCGUAGAGAUCUGGAGGAAUACCGAUGG